rnacentral:misc_RNA from 1 species
CGCAAAAUUCGUACUUUGUAAACAUAGAGGCUGUGAAGUUGUAUGAGAAAAUUCGAAAAUGCACAUCACAGGCUUAGUCUUGGCCAGAGGAGGCAGCAAAGGAAUCAAGAAUAAAAAUCUCGCUCUCCUAGAUAACCAGCCACUCUUGUUGCGGACACUGGGCAUAAUGCACAACGCUAAAUGUUUCAGCAGCAUAUGGGUUAGCACUGACAGCGAGAAGAUAGCAGAAUGUGCACGUAAGGGGGGAGCAAAUGUGCAUUGGAGAGCAGGAUUCACAGCGACUGAUGAUGCUCCCUCACUGGUGGCUGUGCAGGAGUUUGUGCAGUACCAUCCAGACAUUGAGGUGGUGUGUCUUGUACAGUGUACAUCGCCCUUUAUGAAACCAUGCUACCUGCAAUGGGGUCUACAGAAGAUUGUGAAUGGCCAUGACUCUGUCUUCUCGGUUACAAGAAAGCAUUAUCUCAGAUGGGCUGAAGGUAGUGAGGAGACUCUCCCACAGAACUUUGAUCCUCAUCAGCGUCCCAGUCGGCAGAACUGGGCUGGGGAACUGUGCGAGAAUGGGAUGUUCUAUUACACCCGAGUGGGUCUCCUGAAACAAGGACUUCUGCAAGGGGGACGAUGUGGAUACAUUGAAAUACCACCAGAGAAUAGCAUGGACAUAGACACACCUCUAGACCUCAUCAUUGCUGAGCAGCUAGUUAAUUACUGUGACAACAAACAAACUUGAUUAUGGUCAGGUUUUAGGGUGAAAUUUUUUUGGCCAACAACUUCUGCUGUGGUUGAUUGUUCUAAGUUGGUAUAGUACUGAUCUGAAAAGAAGGAUUUUCUUGAUAGUUAUCUGCCUUUCAGGUAAUCUGAUGAUGCCAGGGAUGGCAUGUAUAUACAUACCAUGUCCACUGUGAGUUUAUUUUAUUUAUUGUCUUUAUACAUAGAUGGCUCCACUUAGUCACUAAGGAGACAAUUACUAGUACUACUUGUCUCACCUGUUUACCCUUUUCCUUGAUUUUUGGAAAGAUUUUCUUUUAUCUUAUAUUGCUGUUAGUAAUGUGAAUAGCAUUAUAGUAAUCAUAAUGUCUAUAUUAAUAAUAACAUCAUCAACUUUGAUAGGGUUACUAAAAAAAAAAGAUCUUGAAAACACGAGGAAAGGUGAAAUCAGGUGAAAUCACGAGGUUGACUACCUGACUAUUUGGUAGCUUAAGUACUAGUGGAGCCAUCUUUAUGUAGAGACAUUCCUCAAAACAAAUUUACAGUGAAAACUGCCUUUUCCCAACAGCACUUGGUUAAUGGUCCAUACAAGAUAUUCAUGAAAGAAAUCCCUUGCAGAUACAACAUACAGAAGGAAAUUAUUGUAUGGGAUUUGAUGGAAUGAGUACUGGCUGACCUGAAAUGUUGGUUAAAGUUGUUGGUCCAAAUUUAUCUUCUCUCAGUGGUUGAAGAAACUGCUCAAGAUUUUUAUAUUUAAAGUUUAAAAAAAUGAUAUUGUCUUUCAAGAAGGUAAAGCUUUACAAUUGUGCCAAAAAAUGGUGAUAAAGUAUCAUAAAGCCUGAAGAGACCUUGAAAUGAUACUUUUAAAAAAUAUAGACAUAGAAACAAAAUAACUAGACUAGAAGAAAACAUAUUUGAAGAUAUUGAUUAAAGGAGCAUGUAAUGUCUUAUGAUCUAAAUCAUUGCUUUUAGUUCAUUUACAUUUUAUCAUUACCUCUCCUUAGCUUGAGCUUUGGCAGAUAUAUCCUUCUUCCAAUAAGUCUUUUUAGCAAAUUUAUAAUAUGUUUCUCAUCUUUUAGUCUUUUUUCAAGCAUUCACAUUUAUGCACCACAUGAUGAAAGGCAAUUCAUCAUAAUCUUCCACUGAUCAAUUAGUUAUAAUCAUAGCUUUGUAUAGGAUGCACUAUCUCAACUUGGAUUUUUAGGGUUGACUUUUUCUAUUCCUGUUUAUCUUCACUGUAGUGUAGAUUUAGAAUCUUUAAUUAUAUAUAAUUAUAAGUUAUUUAGAAUCCUUUUGAAAUACAUAUUAGAAUUCUCAGGUCUGAAGUGAGAGGUAAAACAAAACAAAAUACAAAUUAGAAGAAAAGAACAAAAUAGAAACAGAUAGAUAUGUCACAGAAGUUUCUAGGAUAGACAAUCAUAUAGUUAGCUAACAACUGCCACAAUUGUAAAUAUUUUUUAUUGUUAUUAAGCUUUAAGAUGAAUUUCUUGUUAGUAGUGAUAUGAAAGAGGCUGUAAUAUUCCAUUUUCUUUCAUAAAAAAUAUUUGGCUUAAUUAAAGACUUCAUCUUGAUACAACUUCCAAUAUUCUAAGUGAUUAAUUUAGUCAUUUUUUUCUUAGUCCUUAUGGAAUAAGCACAAAGCAUUUUUAGGGUAUUAGAUAAGGAGAGCAUUCAGUUUACAGUACUUUAGAAAACUAUAUUUAUGCUAAAUAAAGUAAGAAUAUACAACUGAAUACCCAAAUUGGUUUUGUGUUUUCCAUUCCCUACAGAAUCAACAUAAUGCAAACAAUUUUGACUGACACAUAUAGAAGAAAUGGUAUGAAGUGAGAAUAAGAUUCCUCACAGAGAUGUAUUUGGCCAGUUUUAAUUAUAUCAUUACCGCUCAAAUACAUGUCAUUUAUAUCACAUAUUUUAAACAGAUGUAAUAAAACCUGUCAAAAAACCUGUCAAAUAUAUCUCUUAUAUCUCUUUAUUUUCAUUCAUAUCUUUUCAGAUUAUGUAUGAUAAUCCGGCAGAUACUAGUUCCCAUUAGCAUUGAAAAGUCAAGGUGGAUUUGUAUUGGUUGUAUAAUGGCCUGUCCACACAAGGGGGCAUGGUUGGCAGAAACAUUGGCGGGCAACUAUAAAACUGACAUCACAGAUGGACAACAGGAAAAACAAAACUGUACUGACACUGCCCUUGUUGAUCUGAUAUCACAGUAGAAGUUUAUGCAUUGUUGAUAUAUUACAUGUGCAUUUUGUGAAAUGAUUAUAUUUGAGCAGAUUUAAAAUUGUUCCAAAUUUCACACCUUUCUUUGUCACUAACUUGUCAAUGAAGGAUACAUGAUGCACUCUCCAUUUCCAUUCUUCCUAUUAUUUUAAUCCAUGUAUUAUCAAUGUUUUAUGUCAUACUAUUCCUUAUAUGUAGCUUUAUAAAGAAAAAUUGUUAACUUUAUA